rnacentral:rRNA from 1 species
UUGAACGCUGGCGGCAUGCCUUACACAUGCAAGUCGAACGGUAGAGGGGCAACCCUUGAGAGUGGCGAACGGGUGAGUAAUAUAUCGGAACGUGCCCAGUCGUGGGGGAUAACGCAGCGAAAGCUGCGCUAAUACCGCAUACGAUCUAUGGAUGAAAGCGGGGGAUCGCAAGACCUCGCGCGAUUGGAGCGGCCGAUAUCAGAUUAGGUAGUUGGUGGGGUA